UAUGAACGCUGGCGGCGUGCCUAACACAUGCAAGUCGAGCGAAGAACUUCGGUUCUUAGCGGCGGACGGGUGAGUAACACGUGGGUAACCUGCCUCAAAGAGGGGGAUAGCCUCCCGAAAGGGAGAUUAAUACCGCAUAAUAUUAGGUCUCCGCAUGGAGAUUUAAUUAAAGGAGCAAUCCGCUUUGAGAUGGGCCCGCGGCGCAUUAGCUAGUUGGUGAGGUAACGGCUCACCAAGGCGACGAUGCGUAGCCGACCUGAGAGGGUGAUCGGCCACAUUGGAACUGAGACACGGUCCAGACUCCUACGGGAGGCAGCAGUGGGGAAUAUUGCACAAUGGGCGAAAGCUUGAUGCAGCAACGCCGCGUGAGUGAUGAAGGCCUUCGGGCUGUAAAACUCUGUCCUUGGGGACGAUAAUGACGGUACCCAAGGAGGAAGCCACGGCUAACUACGUGCCAGCCGCCGCCGUAA
rnacentral:rRNA from 1 species